UACGUAGGGCGCAAGCGUUGUCCGGAAUUAUUGGGCGUAAAGAGCUCGUAGGCGGCCUGUUGCGUCCGCUGUGAAAUCCCGGGGCUCAACCCCGGGCCUGCAGUGGAUACGGGCUGGCUAGAGGCAGGCAGGGGAGAACGGAAUUCCUGGUGUAGCGGUGAAAUGCGCAGAUAUCAGGAGGAACACCGGUGGCGAAGGCGGGUCUCUGGGCAGUAACUGACGCUGAGGAGCGAAAGCGUGGGGAGCAAACAGG
rnacentral:rRNA from 1 species